rnacentral:misc_RNA from 1 species
UUAAGUUCAGCGGGUAUUCCUACCUGAUCCGAGGUCAACUCUUGAGAAAUUGGGUUGCUUUACGGCGUGGCCGCGCCGCGCUCCGCCAUGCGAGGUGGUAUGUUACUACGCAAGGGAGGUCGCGACGAGACCGCCAAUCAAUUUCGGGGGCGGCGGGCGCUGCCGCGAGCGGACUCGCAGGCGCCGACGCCGGCACCCAA